CUGUGUUUCUACCUUGCUUAGCUAUAAAUGCAGUGAUCGCGUUACUGUUGACUUGCUCUACAGCUAAAACCCUCAAUACUCUGCAUAUCAUCCAAAGUUACAAGUAGUAUUGAGCACCUGGUUACUUUACCGACGGACACAAAUCAAGUACGUCGUGAUGUGUAGACGCAGAGAUCAACUGAAAUCUUCAUACAAAUACAUGGCGAAACGGAUAGGCUAAGGCCUGAGCGUGCAUGAAUCCCUGCCGUACCAUGAAAUAUAUCAGCGGUUCCGUUCAGGCACGUUCCGCGUAGCCGUGUGAUCAGCAUCUUACGACGACAGUGAGCCCAUGUCAGGCAGGCGGUAGGUUAUCGUGCCCGCGGUGUGCUGAGCUGCUAGGUGCCGCUGGUAAUCUGCCAGGCGCUGCGAUGUUCCCUCCUGCAGCAGAGCGUAAAAAUCCUCGUUGCGGAAGCGAUCCAUACAUACAUACGUGGUACAAUUAAACCUCGGAUGACCGAUCGGAAGGAUUUUCGACCCUGACAGGUCUCGAUGUAUGUACGUUGUUACAGGGUGGUAUAGCUUCACCAGCGGCCCCCUUUCCCGAGGGAGUUCCCUGCUCUCCCCUGCUAGAGGGGCACCCUAAUCCGCUCACCCCAUCCGACCUCAGAAUGUAUUCGUUGGGUUCAGCAACUCACCACCAGCAUCCAACCAAAUCCAGCGGACCAACUGCGCCUCAACUUAGUUCCAGGUCAGCUCGCAAGUUGAGUAUCUCGUCCUACACUGACCAUAACAUGGGGGGCCGCCUACCAUUUCGACCCCUCUCUCACACCCGGGAGGACGGUAGACGGUUUUGAACCCGGAUACUCAGGGAGCAGAAGUCAGGCCUUAGGGCCCCUCUGCCAACCGCCUGCCCUAUGUAUGUAUGUUUGUGGAUAGGUAAAUAUGUGUUGUGCUCGCAUUAUUCAUACAACCAAUUGACAGCGGACCAAAACUAAUGUGUAUUGAUCUAGUGAGGAGGCGGUUUCCUGAGCACUACUAGUACCUGGCACCAGCUUGCACCUACAUUUGCAAGUCGUCACCAGCAUUUUGUUGCCGUUUGCUCUGCCAAUAGCCCCUGAACAGGACACCACCAUUGAACCAGUCGGUCGGCACGGUAAGCUUGGAUUCAAACAAUCAAGUGAUACCUUUCCGAAUUUGGAGUUUAAGAAGCUAGCAGCUGAAGGAGGCCUUAUCAAGGUUAAGCAAAAAGGAAUGAAAGCUGUUCAUGGUGCACCUGUACAUAAUAAAAGGAAAGAGAUGUAACGUUGCAAGGGACUAACUUAAAAAAGCAAGGCACUAUGGCUAAUGGUAUCGGUUGUAAGUUGUAAAAUGAAAAUAAUAAAAAUAUGUUUUAACAGUAAGGUUAAUUUACUAC
rnacentral:lncRNA from 1 species